AACGAACGCUGGCGGCAUGCCUAACACAUGCAAGUCGAACGAGACCUUCGGGUCUAGUGGCGCACGGGUGCGUAACGCGUGGGAACCUGCCCUUAGGUUCGGAAUAACUCCCCGAAAGGGGUGCUAAUACCGGAUAAUGUCUUCGGACCAAAGAUUUAUCGCCUUUGGAUGGGCCCGCGUUGGAUUAGCUAGUUGGUAGGGUAAAAGCCUACCAAGGCGACGAUCCAUAGCUGGUCUGAGAGGAUGAUCAGCCACACUGGGACUGAGACACGGCCCAGACUCCUACGGGAGGCAGCAGUGGGAAUAGUGGACAAUGGGCGAAAGCCUGAUCCAGCAAUGCCGCGUGAGUGAUGAAGGCCUUAGGGUUGUAAAGCUCUUUUACCCGGGAUGAUAAUGACAGUACCGGGAGAAUAAGCUCCGGCUAACUCCGUG
rnacentral:rRNA from 1 species